CCACGAAAGAGACGGAGAGAGAGUCUUUGGCACGGGUGUGGGGGGGAGGGUCCUGAGAAGUGUUGCAGGGAGCCUUCAGUGUGUAAGCAGAGGGCUCCAGAGGAAAAAACAGGGUGAGCAUCUAGUAGAAAGCCAAUGGGGCAGAGCUGUUUUAGUUCCGUCUGGUCUGCGCCUCCCUCCUUGGGCUCUAACUUCCGGCAGCCUCCACCGUCUGGACAAUGACUCUUCUGGGUUUGGCCAGAUCCACCCCAAAACCUAUAAACCAAUUUUGGUGCCAAAAGCGUCAAUGCAGGGCACUAAGAACUGGGAAGCCUUCUAGGUAAAGCCCACUUGAAAAGGUGCUUCCCGAACUGUGAUUGGACCUUGGACCAAUCAAUCAAGAAAGCUUUAAACAGAACCAAUCAGAGGCCAGCUGCAGCUUAAGGGCAGCCCUGAAGUCUACAAACAGGAAGUGGGGAGGCCUAGCCUGUAUGAGAAAUGAAGAAGGGAGCGCCACUACCUGGAGGCCUCCGGUGUUGGAGUACUCUGCCUGGUCGCUGGGAUUGAGAAUUGGCACUGGGUUGGGGGGAAAAUACAGACUUCUAAACCAGAACUGGCAGCUGUGGUCAUACCCUAAUGGUGGCUACGCAUUUGACUUGUAGAUCAUCGGUCAGCACCAGACCAGCUCGGACCUCAUCAGCUAAGAUGGGCUAGUACCCAGGGACAGACAGGCUGCAGGGUAUGAAUGCCCUCAGCAUCGCAGCCUAAUGCUGUGGGACUUUGAGUUUCUGUACCCAAGAUGAUCAGGCUCAGUGUUAUCAGUGACAAACUCGUUCCAGCCAUGGACCAGCCUACGCUGGGCUACUGCAAAUUCUGACAGGCCGCUGUCCAGGUCCACCUAGAAGGAGAUAGGAAUGUAGGGUGAGCAGUGCCAGCUCCAGCGAGGACCAAAGAGUGAAGUCACAGGUGCCUGGCACUCGUGAGAAUGUGUCUGUAGCUGGCAUCUCCACACCAUAAAAGAUGAAGAGUGAGAGACAGGCGUGGCAAAGAAGUUGAGCCCCAAUGAGAAGAGGCUGGAGAGAGCCAGGCUGAGCAGUUUCCUCACAGUUUCCGUUCUCAUCAUUGACAAAGGAGCAUCGGAUGGAAGGACUCUAGCAGGGGCUGAAGCGGGUGGCUCCUGGGACAGGGGCACCGCUGACUGAGAUUUUGUGCAGAAAUCCAAAUUACUCCACACCCAUAGCUUUGUGGUGCUUUCUCUCAAUCCACAAACUACCUCACGAUGGUAUCGGAGACGUGCUGGCUCACCUUGUUGACUUGACAGGACUUAAAGUGCCUGUGAAAUCAAUUCGGGAUAUGUCUUAUGAGGGCAUUUCCAGAGAGAUCUAACUGAGGUAGGACCCACCCUGAAUGUACAUAGCUCCAUCCUGAGUGGGAGGCCCAGGUAAGCAUCAGCAUCCGACUCUCUCUGCUUCCUGGCUCAGAGGCAGUGAGACCGGCUGCCUCACGCUCUGUCUCUAUGUCUGCACUGUACCUGGAAGUCAGUAUAGCCCUCACCCCAUAAGCUGCACUGUCUUUCACGACAGAUAUAAAAUAGACACCGUGACAAAGUUCUUACGUGGAAGGUUCUGGCCAACUCCUCCUUGCUGCAUUUGCACGCUUCCCUGGGUGGCAGGGCUGCGACUGCCUUUUCUCUUUCGAUAGCUUUCAGCUCGUACUGUUCAUCAAUCUGUGGAGAGAGCAGCGCAGCGGGUGAGCACAGGAUAUCUCGCUAGGGGGCCUCGGGUAAAGCGGGGCACACAUAUGCAAGAUAAACAUUCAUCAAGUACAUGAGCCAACCCUUGAGAUCUGCUUCUACAUCAGGAGACAGGUGGCUUCAGUCCCCAAGCUCCCUCGCCAACCAAAGUGAUUUUCCCAGUGUGAACUCUCCAGAGACAGUCAUAUGCCCAGCACCGGCCAUCUGUGCUUUCUCUCCGUGUCAGUGACGGUGCAGGAUGCCACACUGCUCUUUCCACAGGUGCUCAGGUCUCCUCAGCACAGUUAGAUUCAGCUCCCAGCCAUCCUGCUAGGGGCCUGUGGGGUUUCCUUAUAGCCAUUGGCUAAUACUGACACAUCUGUCUGGAAAUAA